ACAACGUCUCGAAAGGGACGCUAAUACCGCAUACGUCCUACGGGAGAAAGUGGGGGCUCUUCGGACCUCACGCUAUCAGAUGAGCCUAGGUCGGAUUAGCUAGUUGGUGAGGUAAUGGCUCACCAAGGCGACGAUCCGUAACUGGUCUGAGAGGAUGAUCAGUCACACUGGAACUGAGACACGGUCCAGACUCUAUACGGGAGGCAGCAGUGGGGAAUAUUGGACAAUGGGCGAAAGCCUGAUCCAGCCAUGCCGCGUGUGUGAAGAAGGUCUUCGGAUUGUAAAGCACUUUAAGUUGGGAGGAAGGGUUGUACGUUAAUACCGUGCAAUUUUGACGUUACCGACAGAAUAAGCACCGGCUAACUCUGUGCCAGCAGCCGCGGUAAUACAGAGGGUGCAAGCGUUAAUCGGAAUUACUGGGCGUAAAGCGCGCGUAGGUGGUUUGUUAAGUUGGAUGUGAAAUCCCCGGGCUCAACCUGGG
rnacentral:rRNA from 1 species